UGAGGGAUCUUGCGCAAUGGGCGAAAGCCUGACGCAGCGACGCCGCGUGAGCGAAGAAGGCCUUCGGGUUGUAAAGCUCUUUUCCACCUGACGAGGCAGGACGGUAGGGUGGGAAUAAGUCACGGCUAACUACGUGCCAGCAGCCGCGGUAAAACGUAGGUGGCUAGCGUUAUCCGGAAUUACUGGGCGUAAAGGGCAUCUAGGUGGACAGAUAAGUCACGUGUGAAAGCUUCCGGCUCAACCGGGAGAGGCCAUAUGAAACUGUCUGUCUUGAGGGUCGGAGAGGGACGUGGAAUUCCCGGUGUAGUGGUGAAAUGCGUAGAGAUCGGGAGGAACACCAGUGGCGAAGGCGGCGUCCUGGCCGAUACCUGACACUGAAGUGCGAAAGCGUGGGGAGCGAACGGG
rnacentral:rRNA from 1 species